GAAUAUUGGUCAAUGGACGCAAGUCUGAACCAGCCAUGCCGCGUGCAGGAUGACGGCCCUACGGGUUGUAAACUGCUUUUGUACGGGAAUAACUAGAUCUACGUGUAGGUCUUUGAAGGUACCGUAAGAAUAAGGAUCGGCUAACUCCGUGCCAGCAGCCGCGGUAAUACGGAGGAUCCAAGCGUUAUCCGGAUUCAUUGGGUUUAAAGGGUCCGUAGGCGGAUUUUUAAGUCAGAGGUGAAAGCCUGCAGCUCAACUGUGGAACUGCCUUUGAUACUGGAAAUCUUGAGUGUGCGUGAAGUAGGCGGAAUAAGUCAUGUAGCGGUGAAAUGCAUAGAUAUGACUUAGAACACCGAUUGCGAAGGCAGCUUACUAAAGCACUACUGACGCUGAGGGACGAAAGCGUGGGGAGCGAACAGG
rnacentral:rRNA from 1 species